UACGGGGGGAGCAAGCGUUGUUCGGAUUUACUGGGCGUAAAGGGCGCGUAGGCGGCCUGUGCAAGUCAGUUGUGAAAUCUCCGGGCUUAACUCGGAACGGUCAACUGAUACUGCUCGGCUAGAGUGCGGAAGGGGCAACUGGAAUUCUUGGUGUAGCGGUGGAAUGCGCAGAUAUCAGGAGGAACACCGGUGGCGAAGGCGGGUCUCUGGGCAACAACUGACGCUGAGGAGCGAAAGCGUGGGGAGCGAACAGG
rnacentral:rRNA from 1 species